rnacentral:ncRNA from 2 species
GGGUCCGGGGUAUAGUUGCCCCGGAGGGUUGGAUGGUCGGGCCGCCAUCC